UGCAUUGUCAGCACAUGCUUCAGUGAUCUGAGAGUGUUUAUAGUGCUGUGAGUUUAACACUUCAUGACUGACAGCAGAACAGAACACAAUCUUCAUCAUCACACAACACAAACAACAACAAUGACCUUCAGCAUCAUCUUCAUCUGCACACUUUUAUUCUGUAUACAAGGAUCGAGUGGACAGAUCACAGUGACUCAGACUCCUUCAGUGAAACUUGCUGCUCCAGGAGAGACUGUUGUGUUGAAAUGUUCUGCCAGCACUCCUUUAACAGGCUGUAGCCCACCCUGUCUGUCCUGGUACUUACAGAAACCUGGAGAAGCUCCUAAACUCAUGAUUUAUUAUACAAGUACUCUUCAGUCUGGAACUCCAUCUAGAUUCAGUGGCAGUGGAUCUGGAAGUGAUUUCACUCUGAGCAUCAGUGGAGUCCAGACUGAAGAUUCAGGAGAUUAUUACUGUCAGAGUGCACACUACAUCAGUAGUAGCUGGGUGUUCACACAGUGA